CCCUUAGACGUUCUGGGCCGCACGCGCGCUACACUGACCAGUGCAACAAGCAUCCGUCCUUGGCCGACAGGCCCGGGCAAUCUUUGAACGCUGGUCGUGAUGGGGAUAGACUUUUGCAAUUUUUGGUCUUCAACGAGGAAUUCCUAGUAAACGCAAGUCAUCAACUUGCAUUGAUUACGUCCCUGCCCUUUGUACACACCGCCCGUCGCUCCUACCGAUUGAGUGGUCCGGUGAGGCUUUGGGAUCUGAGCGGAAAGAGCGUUUCGCUGUUUCUGCUCGGAAAACUCAGUCGAACCUUAUCAUUUAGAGGAAGGAGAAGUCGUAACA
rnacentral:rRNA from 1 species